ensembl:lncRNA
UGUGUGGGUGUGGUUCAGGGCGUACCUGUGUGUGGGUGUGGUUCAGGGCGUACCUGUGUGUGGGUGUGGUUUAAGGCAUACCUGUGUGUGGGGUGUGGUUCAGGGCGUACCUGCAUGUGGGUGUGUUUCAGGGCGUACCUGUGUGUGGGUGUGGUUCAGGCGUACCUGUGUGUGGGUGUGGUUCAGGGUGUACCUGCAUGUGGGUGUGGUUCAGGCGUGCCUGCGUGUGGGUGUGGUUCAGGGUGUACCUGCGUGUGGGUGUGGUUCAGGGUGUACCUGCGUGUGGGUGUGGUUCAGGUGUGGUUCAGGUGUACCUGCGUGUGGGUGUGGUUCAGGCGUACCUGCGUGUGGGUGUGGUUCAGGGCGUACCUGUGUGUCGGUUGGUGCCGUCCAGGUCAGAGAAUUCGAUGUAAUCCUCUCGGGCGUCGGCCCAGUAGAUUCGGUCGUUAAUGAAAUCCAGUGUUAAUCCAUUUGGCCACGUGAUUCUCUCCUGCACGAUCACACUGCGGUUCGUUCCGUCCAUCCCGAUACGGCCGAUAUGAGGGUUAUCUCCCCAGUCCGACCAGUACAGGUACCUGAAGGUACAGAUUAUAUUUCAUAAGUGUGUUCAAAAUAUCCAGUAUAACAUCUUCUCAUGAAAUACAUUCUUUACUGUCUUCCAUCCACAUACACUAUACAUAUCCCAUUUAUUCCUUUAUUUAUGAGUGUGUGUGUGCGUGAGUGUGUGUGUGUGUGUUUGAUCACCCGUUGCGGACGUCCACAGCGAUGGCUCUUGGCUCUCUCAGCCCCGUGUUAAUCAGCACCGUCCUGAAUGCGCCAUUUAGCUUCGACACCUCGAUCAUGUCCCGCCCCUUAUCACACCAAUACAGGUUCCCUCCCACCCAAUCAACUGCCAGACCGUCAGGGUUGCUAAGAGAUGUGCGGUGAAGGACCUGCCAAGAACCAAUCAGAGAACAGAACAUUAGACUUAAAAUAAUAUAAAAAAAAGAAUAUAAAGUAAUAAAUCUUGUAAUAAAGUAUUGUUGUGCUUUUAUCUUAAGUAAAAUUAGAAUCUGAUAGAUCCCUGCUCUUUAAAUAAAACAGGACGCUCACUCACUCACACCUGAUCGUCAUUCCACUGACGGAAAACACCUGACUCUAAUCUCACCUUCAAAUUAACUGUUAAUCCUAGAGGUGCACAUACUUUCCCACUCACAGAUAUGUAAUACAGGAUCAUUUCCCUCAGUAAAUAAAUGACCAAGUAUAAUAUUUUUAUUAAACUCACUUGUGUAAUUAGGUUCUCUUUAUUUACCUUUAGGACUAUUUAAAGGGUUCACAAACUUUCAGGCACCACUGUAUUUAAUUUUACUCUCAG